rnacentral:rRNA from 1 species
UAGUCAUAUGCUUGUCUCAAAGAUUAAGCCAUGCAUGUCUAAGUAUAAAUGGAUUAUACAGUGAAACUGCGAAUGGCUCAUUAAAUCAGUUAUAGUUUAUUUGAUAAUACCUUUUACUUGGAUAACCGUAAUAAUUUUAGAGCUAAUACAUGCGUGAAAGUGCGACUUUUGUGGAAGCACUGUAUUUAUUAGAUACAAAACCAAUCGAGCUUGCUCGUUACCUUGGUGAUUCAUAAUAACUAAACGAAUCGUAUGACUUUAUGUCGACGAUGAUUCAUUCAAAUUUCUGCCCUAUCAACUUUCGAUGGUAAGGUAUUGGCUUACCAUGGUUACAACGGGUGACGGAGAAUUAGGGUUCGAUUCCGGAGAGGGGGCCUGAGAAACGGCUACCACUUCUACGGAGGGCAGCAGGCGCGCAAAUUACCCAAUCCUGACUCAGGGAGGUAGUGACGAAUAAUAACGAUACGUGACUUCGGUCUAGUAAUUGGAAUGAGUACAAUUUAAACCCCUUAAUGAAUUCCAUU